rnacentral:rRNA from 1 species
UGCCAGCCGCCGCGGUAAUACGAGGGGGGCGAGCGUUGUUCGGAAUUACUGGGCGUAAAGGGCGCGUAGGCGGUCUUUUAAGUUAGGCGUGAAAGCCCCGGGCUCAACCCGGGAACUGCGCUUAAGACUGGAAGACUAGAAAACGGAAGAGGGUAGUGGAAUUCCCAGUGUAGAGGUGAAAUUCGUAGAUAUUGGGAAGAACACCAGUGGCGAAGGCGGCUCACUGGCUCGAUACUGACGCUGAGAGACGACAGCUAGGGGAGCAAAUGGGAUUAGAUA